rnacentral:rRNA from 1 species
UACGAAGGGGCUAGCGUUGCUCGGAAUCACUGGGCGUAAAGGGUGCGUAGGCGGGUCUUUAAGUCAGGGUGAAAUCCUGGAGCUCAACUCCAGACUGCCUUUGAUACUGAAGAUCUUGAGUUCGGGAGAGGUGAGUGGAACUGCGAGUGUAGAGGUGAAAUUCGUAGAUAUUCGCAAGAACACCAGUGGCGAAGGCGGCUCACUGGACCGUUGUUGACGCUGAGGUGCGAAAGCGUGGGGA